GACGAACGCUGGCGGCGUGCUUAACACAUGCAAGUCGAACGGUAAGGCCCUUCGGGGUACACGAGUGGCGAACAGGUGAGUAACACGUGGAUGAUCUGCCCUGCACUUCGGGAUAAGCCUGGGAAACUGGGUCUAAUACCGGAUAGGACCACUGCCUGCAUGGGUGGUGGUGGAAAGCUUUUGCGGUGUGGGAUGGGCCCGCGGCCUAUCAGCUUGUUGGUGGGGUGAUGGCCUACCAAGGCGACGACGGGUAGCCGGCCUGAGAGGGUGACCGGCCACACUGGGACGUAGAUACUGCCCAGACUCCUACGGGAGGCAGCAGUGGGGAAUAUUGCACAAUGGGCGCAAGCCUGAUGCAGCGACGCCGCGUGAGGGAUGACGGCCUUCGGGUUGUAAACCUCUUUCAGCACCGACGAAGCGCAAGUGACGGUAGGUGCAGAAGAAGGACCGGCCAACUACGUGCCAGCCGCCGCCGUAA
rnacentral:rRNA from 1 species